rnacentral:rRNA from 1 species
GAUGAACGCUAGCGGCAGGCCUAAUACAUGCAAGUCGGACGGGAUUGGAGAGCUUGCUUUCCAUGAGAGUGGCGCACGGGUGCGUAACACGUAUGUAACCUACCUUGUUCAGGGGGAUAGCCUCUCGAAAGAGAGAUUAAGACCGCAUAACAUUGCGAUGUGGCAUCACAUUGUAAUCAAAUAUUUAUAGGAACAAGAUGGGCAUGCGGAACAUUAGCUAGUUGGUAAGGUAACGGCUUACCAAGGCUACGAUGUUUAGGGGAUCUGAGAGGAUGACCCACCAAACUGGUACUGAGACAAGGACCAGACUCCUACGGGAGGCAGCAGUAAGGAAUAUUGGUCGAUGGGCGGAAGCCUGAACCAGCCAUGCCGCGUGCAGGAAGACGGCCCUAUGGGUUGUAAACUGCUUUUGCAGGGGAAUAAACCUUGGUACGUGUACCAAGCUGAAUGUACUCUGAGAAUAAGGAUCGGCUAACCCCGUGCCAGCAGCCGCCGUAA